GACGAACGCUGGCGGCGUGCCUAAUACAUGCAAGUCGAACGCAGUGGGGACGGGUGAGUAACACGUGGGUAACCUCCCAUCAGAGGGGAUAACACGUGGAAACAGGUGCUAAACCGAUACUGAUGGAUGGAGCCGCGGUGCAUUAGCUAGUUGGGGGGGUAACGUCUCAACAAGGCCACGAUGCAUAGCCGACCUGAGAGUGUAAUCGGCCACACUGCAACUGAGACACGGCCCAGACUCCUACGGGAGGCAGCAGUAGGGAAUAUUCGGCAAUGGACGAAAGUCUGACCGAGCCACGCCGCGUGUGUGAAGAAGGUUUUCGGAUCGUAAAACUCUGUUGUUAGAGAAGCGGUAUCUAACCAGAAAGCCCCGGCUAACUACGUGCCAGCAGCCGCGGUAAUUC
rnacentral:rRNA from 1 species